ACGUGCGCGCGCACAGAGAAGAAACAAAGGGACCCAUCAGCAGUAGCGCGGACGCGCACGCGCUCCAACUUUGUUGUGUGUUGUUUGUUGUCCACCGGGCGGACCGGCACCGGGAGGCGCGCGCUGCUCCGCUCCGCUCCGCUCCGCUCCGUCCAGGAUUUAAUCACAAGACUCUACGCGUUUCACGUCUGCACUCGACUUUGGGAUUUUGGAUUAUAUCGACUUUUCCGGAUGAAGGAUUACCCACAAUUCCCUUUUCCAGUCCUGGAUUAUGACUUUUCCCUGUGAUUACUGCAUCGUCCGUGAUGGGAGAACGGCGUGGAGCUUGCUAAUCCCGAGGAAUCGGAGGGUUUUGUAAGCGGAGAACCCAACAGGAACCCAGCGGAUCCCUCAGGGGCACGGGAGGAGCGUGUGAAAUUCCACACAGGCCAGAACCAGAGUUUCGGAUCGAACCCUGAACACUUCAGACAUAACCGAAAAACAGCGGAGUUUAGGAGAAGGUUCUGGAUCCUCAGCCAGGUGUUUUGAGGAGCUCAUGGCUCAGGAGUGUGAGCAGAAAAUUCCCGACGGUCUGGAACAGUUGUUCCUCAUGAUGGCUCUUGACCUGCUUGAUGAGUCCGUGACAUACCGUACCAUCAGCGGAAACCACCAUGGGUGUGUGUUGUGCAACUUUCAACAGGAUGAUGGAGAUCAUCUUACACUGGCCUGCGACAAAAGAACCCGACAGAGAACCGGUGGUGAGACAACCGAGCACAAAGAACCAUCCGUGAUUGAUCAUGAUAUGCACGUCGAGGCUCGUCAAGGAAACUGCAGCGAGGAGGAGGAAGAUUCAUCCUGAGUCACUGAGUGAAACUGUGAGCCUGUGAAGACCUGAAAUGGUAUGAAGCCACACCGCUGUGAAGAGGUCACGGGCCAGGAUUGGUGACUCGUCCAGGAAGAUCCCACUUGGAUAUUUAAGGACUUUUAAUCAGGAAGUCAUGGAUUACAGUCUGGAAGUUCCUACACGCUCCAACUCCAAACAUGGACAGUUUACAUUGACAUGAAAAACACGCUUCAGGUACAGUGUGUUCACCACCAUUUCCAGGGGUGCCAAUAAUAGUCGCACAUGUGGGUUUUUUUCUGCUUUUGAAAAUAAUUAUUUCUUAAUGAGGGAUUUGGUUUUCUGUAAAUAAAUGUAUUUCAGUUAAAGGUCAGUUUUCUCUUUUUUUUUUGACAAAGGGUGCCAAUAAUUGUGGAGGGCACAGUGUGUAUAUAUGUGUAUGGAUAGAUUGAUAGAUGGAUAGAAUGUUGGAUGAAAUAAUGAGGAUUGCUAUAAAAGAAGACUGGAUGGGUAAAAGAACAGAAUGAUGGAUGGAUGGAUGGAUAGUUGAGGAGAUGGAUGAAAGAUGGAGGAUGGGUGAAAUGAUGGUGGGAUGUUUGUUUGAAAGGAUUUAUUUGUGUACAGUAUGUAUAUUAUGGAAGAAUGACUGGCGGAUGGAUGGAGAUGGGUGGAUGGAUGGGUAAAAACAGUGGAAGGAGAUUUUGAUGGAUGGAAAUUUAAAUGAGUGGACGGAAAGGUAGAUGGAACGAUGAAUGAGUUGAGAAGGUGUCAGGAUAUAAAACAAUGGAAAGGUGAAGAGACAAAUAUGGAUGGAUGGGUUGAUGGAAAAGGUAGAUAAAUGGAUGGGCAGGAAGAUGGAAAGAUCAAUGAAAGAAUGAAUGGUUGAAAAUAUGGAUGAAUGGAUGCAUAAAUAUAUAUAACAAUAAAUAUAUACAAUAUAGAACAGCAUUUUCUCCAUUUUUCACCUUUCUCCCUUUCUUCUUAUCCAGCCCUCCAUCCAUCUGCCUGCUUAUCAAGUCUUUCUAGUCAUCCUUCCAUCUAUCCAUCAAUUUGUUUAUCUCCUUAUCUCGCCUUCAAAUAGAUAAAUUACAGGUUGGGUGGAUGGAUGGGCAGCAGAAAAGAAUAUUUAAGUAGGUAACUGGACGGCCACAAGGAGUGUGUGUGUGUGUGUGUGUGUGUGUGUGUGUGUGAGAGAGAGAGGGAUGACUCCUGAAGCAUUUUCCGAUGUCGCUGCUGCCCUCUGCUUAAUUAAAAUGCAGCUCUCCGAGAUAAAAAGCAGGAAUAGAGGAGCCGUGUUCAAGGGAAUAAUGAGUUAAAGAAAAGAAAAGCAAAAAUUGUGUGUCAGCAUCUCAGUACAGCAGCUAAUUAAACUGAAGAUUCGCUUCUCGUGCGUAAAAUCAUCUAAAAUAAUCCGUGAGCUUUAAGCUAGCUCUGAUGUUCUCCACGUUUCUUCACAAUUAUUUUUAUCUUUUCGUAAGAGAAAUGAGCUGCAGCUAUAUUUGACUUGCUUGUUAUGGUGGAAAAAUGAAAAGGAACUCCCUCACACUUUCGGGGGAAUAUGAAAACACACACACACACACACACACACACACACACACACACACACACACACACACACACACACACUCUCCCACUCCCUCUGUGGGCCUGCUGUUUGUGAGGGCUUUCUGGAGGUAAAAAUAAUGAGCUCAUGGCUCGGGCCCCAAGGUACCGCCAGCAAUUAGCAUGAUCCAGACUCGGCUCAGAUUUAGCAGGGGGAGAAAUGAAAAGAGACAGCGGUUUGGGAUUUAAGCAAAGAGGAGAUAUGAAUUCCACCCGUGUAGCGUGCUAGUGUGUAAAUAUUCCCAGAUUUAGCACACUAGUGAUGGGUGACGAUCAUGAAAGGGUUUUCCAUCCGAGAGAGCCGUAUCUGUAACCUGAGGAGAAAUAAAACGCAUUCCGAUAUGAAGGGUGUUUGUGGAGCUCUGUUCUUUUGUGUUUCUGCUGCUGUUUUUUUUUUUGUUUUUUUUGAGGGGGGUAUUAUUUACAUUUUUACAUCCUUGAGAUGAACUGAGAAUUUAUUUUAAAAUGUCAUAAAAUGUAAAGAAAGACUCGGAGAGCAGCGUGAACGUGACCUGGACUGCUUCUGGUCUCGGAUUCUUCAACUCAGCUGUGAGGAAGGACAUGUUUUUGUGUGUGUGCGUCAUACAUUAACAAAAAUUAAAAUCAAUAAAAAAAAAAUCAAAAAUAGCAUCAGAUUUUUGAGGUUAUUUUCAUUCUAUUUUGAGAAUAAUGGAUAAAUUGUUUCAUUUUUAAACAAAUAGAUGAAGUUGAAUUAUUUACUUCUGCUCCAUCUUUCCAUCCAGCUGUUUAUCCGUCCCUUCAGGUCUUGUUUUUGCUGCCUGUUCAAGUCAUGUAUCCUUUAUCCAGUCUUCCAUUCACACAACGGACCAACCGUCCCCCAUCCUUUCUUCUGUCUAUGUUUCAUCAGUACGUCAUUGCGUUGAAAAGUCUUUUUGCAUUCAGAUUUCAAUUUUGCAGUCGGUCAUUAGUUUCUGACCCGUCCACCCACCCACCCACCCGUUUUUCAAUCAUUUUAGAUAAGUUGAGGAGUUUUGUUCAUUGUAACUGUAAUUCACCUCUCAGCCAGCAGAGGGCUCUAGUCAAGUCAACUUUAUUGUCAAAUAUGCUGUACAUGUUUGACAUACAGCACGGAUGAAAUUUCAGUCCUCUCUGACCCACGGUGCAAACAGGCAAUGCGAUAAAUAAAAAAAGAAUAAUUGAAAAACAAACAAUAUAAACAGUAUAAACACUCUAGAUAGGAACGAGACAGACUAAACACUCAAACAAUAUAAACAGUAUAAACACUAGAUAAGAACAAGACAUAGACGAAACACUCAGACAAUAUAAACAGUGUAAACACUCUAGAUAUGAACUAGACGUAGACUAAACACUCAUACACAUACACAGGUUCAAAUAAACAAACAUUCAAGGGCACUUGAGGUAUAGCAGGUAAACAUGAAAUAAGCAGUAUAAACAAACUAGCAGCUGUUAAGACGAGGUAGUGCGGAAUAGUGCAAAGGAGUGAGGUAAAGUGAGAUGUGCGGUCCCUGAGUUCAGUGUGUUAAUGAACAAUGAGAUGUGUGUGUUGGGGGGGAAAC